UACGGGGGGGGCGAGCGUUGUCCGAAUUUACUGGGCGUAAAGCGCGCGUAGGUGGAUUGUUAAGUCCGCUGUGAAAGCCCGGGGCUCAACCCCGGAGGGUCGGUGGAUACUGACAGUCUUGAAGUGGCUAGAGGGAAGUGGAAUUACCAGUGUAGCGGUGAAAUGCGUAGAUAUUGGUAGGAACACCAGUGGCGAAGGCGGCUUCCUGGGGCUAUCUUGACACUGAGGCGCGAAAGCUGGGGGAGCGAACGGG
rnacentral:rRNA from 1 species